AUGGGGAUGAGUCUUAGAUGCCAGAUCCACAUCCAGAUUGGUGACAGUGAUGGCUUUAUGGAGGCCACAGACCUUUCCAGAUCUGUGGAGGACUGCAUGUAGAGCAUGACUGUGCAUUAUAGGGCUGAUGUCAGGAGCUUGGUAUCAA